rnacentral:lncRNA from 1 species
CCAAUUCAUUUUUAUUCCAUCUAAUGUAUCAUAUUCAAAACAAAUUAAGAGAAAGUUUUCAAUAAAACACAAAACAACAAAAUACUCAUACGACAUUCAUAUUCAUCAAAGAAAUAAAAACAGGGAGAAAAUAUUAAACUCAAAGUGGAAACGGACCUCAAGUAGCCAUACUUUUUGAUUCACAAAAUGUCGAGCUCAUACGUCGAAUGUUCGAUCUCGGAUCAUAAACUUCAAUGACACAAACUCGACUCUUCAAAGAUGAGUAAAAUCGAAUCAGCCUGAAUUCAGCAACAAGAUCAACUAACAACAACAGUAGAUUGACAUCCCACCACGGACCUCGACUUGGCAUCGUAAAACUCAAACAAGCCCGAAUUCAGCCCCAAACGAGCUCAACCAAUGAACUUCCAACAUUAAGACUCCAACUCAGUAUCUGUUUUGAUUUGGCUCUUUUCGAAAUGAUACUAAAUAAAAAAGAACCAAGGCAUCUUGAUAGUUUCUUCAUUGCAAUAAUCAUAUCAGUCCAUUUUUGUAUUUUGGUUGUGCAAAUCUGUUGUCACCUCAUAGACAUAAAGGGACAUGAAAAACGACUAUUCAUGCAAAAUCAGCAUAUGCAGAAAAGAAGAACCCAAAAGAACAUAUUAAGGUGAGGUUUCUUCAAUUAAACAUUUCCUUCUAAGCAGUAUACAUAAACAAAAACGAAACCAUGGCCAACUCUUUCACUAGGUGAAAAUCAGCAAGUACACAUGAAUCUGGAGAUGAAAAUUUGAACGAAAACAACAACAAAUUGCUACAGAGACUUGAACCAACAAAACUUGACCUCGACUAACACCUCAGAUAGGAAUCUGAACUAAAUAAAAAAGAACCAAGAAAUCUUGAUAUUUUCUUCAUUACAAUAAUCAUAUCAGUCCAUUUUUGUAUUUCGGUUGUGCAAAUCUGUUGUCACCUCAAAGACAUACAGUGACAUGAAAAACGACUAUUCAUGCAAAAUCUGCAGAAGCGGGAAAGAAGAACCCGAUAGAACAGAUUUAGGUGAGCUCUCUUCAAUUAAACAUUUCCUUCUAAGCAGUAUACACAAGCAAAAACGAAACCAUGGCCAACUCUUUCAUUAAGUGAAAAUCAGCAAGUACACAUGAAUUUGGCAAUGAAAAUUUGAACGAAAACAGCAAUAAAUUGCUACAGGGACUUGAAUCAACAAAACUCAACCUCGACUAACACCUCAGAUAGGAAUCAGAAUAAAAAAUUAGAAGAAAAACCAGAAGUCGACAUGAAAAUUGAAAGGAUUCGUGUUUAAAAUCAGAAUAAACACAAAAAAAUCACGUCUGUUCACUUCCUCUAUUCUCACUGUCCACUUUGUGAGUUCAGAGGAAGACGAGUCCUUGUUUUUGGGGUCUAGGUUUUCUGUUCUCUUCUUCAGUAAGGAUGAUAUGGGAGCUUGGCAAUGGUGAGCAGGGGUGUGUGUUCAGCAAGUCGCGAAUGGUCGACUAGACCCAUAGGUGAUCAAAUAUGGCGGCUGGUGAGGGAAACCUUCGGGAGUUCGACCUUCUUCUUUAGAGAUGGUGUUACGGAUGUGGCUAUGGAUGAAUUGAGGGUGACGCGGAGGUGUGGAGGUGAGCAGCGACUGGUGCUGUAUUGAUGUUCCACCGGAGAUGAGGACAAAGGGGGGUCGUUUGGAGAAGAUGAAGCAAGGGAAGGGGAGUCUGUGUAUGCUGCGCAGCCUUCCUUCUCUCUAUAUCAGGUG